ACAUUUCCCGGCCUCCUUUGCAGCUAGGUUGGGGCCAUGUGACUGGAGAAUUAUCCAGGAAAGGAUGUAACCUGGGCCAAUGUCUGGCACUUAAAAAUAAACCAUUCCACCCUCUAAUGUGUUUUGUCUUUGCCACAGCCCCCAUUCCACCGUCUAAUGUGUUUUGUCUUUGCCACAGCACCCGCAAAGGGUAUGUGUUCCAGAUGCGAAACUAAAAAGCGCUCAAAUCUUGAGUCAAUCUUGAGCCAUGCAAGAGACUCGCUAACCCCCAAUCAGCUGUGACAUGAGUGAGGAAUACACCUUUUUGUUGUUACACCAUUGUAUUUUCAGGGUUUAUUUGUCACAUCAGCAUAGGCCAGUUUUGCCCUGACAUAUCUAAUCAUCCCACUCUUGCUAUAACAAUUAAAAUAGUUGCAGAUGCAAGUGAUAGAAAGCCCAACUCAAACUGGCUUAAAAAAAAAGAAAAGAAUCCAAGCAGACCUGGAUCCAGAGUUUAAACAAUGUCAGUUGGAAUCACAUUCUCUUCAUCUCUUGGCUCUGCUUUGUGUUGGCUGCACUUUUAGGGUGCGCUGGGGACCUUCAGAAGCCUAGGCUCUGCCCAGGUAGUGACAAAAUAGCUGUAGUACCCCCAGAUCCUAUCUUCCCAUGAGAAAAUCCAGAGGGGUUAAGAGUCUAUUUUCUGUUUGCACCCACAAAGACCCCAGGAUUUAUUAUGAUUGGGCCAGCUCAGCUCACCCUGAACUCGAGCCCAUCUUUGUGGCUAAAGGAAAACAGUGCCAUGGUCAGCUUAGGCCUGGAUCGUAUGCUCUGUCCCUAGAGCUGAGGGAGAAUCCUUAUCCAGGAUACACGGACUGAGACCGGGAAAGGAGAGAGUCUUCAGAAGGAAACGUGCCUGUUGCUGGAAGGAAAACAAAGGGGCUGGAUACAGGAUAAGAAGCCUUCUGGGAGAUAAAGAAGCAUGACAAGACCAUGCAAAUAAUUAUGAAUGGAACCAUACACUAACAAAGUGAAUGGGUCUCCACAUCGUUAAAGCCCCUGAAAGGGUCAAAAAAAUGAGGAGGUCAAAAGUAGACAGCAUCGUCAAUACACUUGGCCAAGGGGUUUUUGCAAUGGAAAAUACCUUUGAAGGACUAAUAGUUGAAUUGGCAUGUUUAAGUCAUUUUGGCAACCAGAACUGCAACCCUGUCUCCUGAAUAAGAUACUGCUGCUCUCGCAGAACAAAAGAACCGUUAACAACACCAACUAACCCGUGUAAUUCUCAUUUAUACAUUUUUAUUACCUUCCAUAUACUCUAUGUGAUACAUUACCCAUUCCAUUAAUUGUUAACAUACACGCAAGUCAAGAUCUUUUAUUAUGCGAGGUCAUCAGUCAGUGAUAACAGAGAUAUUGAUGAAUUAGUCUCCUCAUCAGAAGUUGAGCAACAUUUCCAUUCAAGAUGAUACAUGGACCUUUAAAACAUACUCAAUAAUAUUGAGUCUCAGUCUUCUGUUGCUUUUUUCUGAAUGUGCAUUUAGACCUUUACACAUCUAUUUAGUCAUCCAUUCAUUAAACAUUCAGCAUUAAUUUUCUACUCAUAGCACCAGAACCGUGUUUGUCUUAUUCACCAUUGUACCCUUACUGCAAGGACCUAGAACAUAGUAGGAUCUCAAUAAAUUCUUAGGAUUCAAAAUAAAUGAAUGAGGAUGUGGUAGGAAGAAUUCUAACAUGGCCCCCAUGACAUUCAUCUCCUGAUGUUACUCUGUUAAUAAUGUUACCUUACAUGGAAAAGGGGUCUUGAAGAUGUAACUAAGGCUAAUAAUUAGUCAACCUUAAGACAGGGAGAUUAUGUGGAUUAAUUUUGUGUAUUAAUCAAUUUUACAUAAAAAUUUUAAAGUCAGAGAGAUAAGCAUGUAAACAUCUCUAGAUAAGAGCCCAGCUCAGCUGAUGUCUUGAUUUCAAUCUUGUGAGACCUUAAGUGCAGAACCCAGUCGAGCCCACCUGGACUUCUGACUUACAGAGCAGUGAUAUAGCAAGUGUGUGUUCUUUUGCUAAUAAAUUUGUGACAAUUUGUUACCCAGCAAGCCUAGGUAGCUAAUACAGGGGGAUUUGGGGAGGAUGGUAGUAACGGUGACAGUGUAAUAUUUUAAUCUUGCCUUACAUUAAAAACAAACAUAGCAACUAAAUAGAAAAAAACAAAACUCAUGGACAACAUCGAAUUAAAAAAAAGGCAGGUAACAAAGCAUAUCUACAAACCUCAUAUUUCAAGCCGGAGGGUAGGGAUGAGAGCCCCAAGUCCCCACGGGUCAAACUCUGCCCAGAGGAAGCAGAGGUUAGAAAUGGAGUGCCCAGAUUUGAGAAUAGGAGAAACCUUAAAUAGCCAAUAGGAACUUACUGGGAAACAGUGGACCAGCUGAGGUGGCAGGCAAAGAUGGGGCUGCCAUGACCACUCUAAAAGCUGGUGAGUGUAAGAGGCCAGUGUGAGUCCUGAAAGGGGCAGGAGCUGUCCAGGCCACAGGAGCCCUCAGUGACAACAGCCAAAGCCCCCUGCCAGGACCAGGCUCCAUACUGAGAAGAAGCUCCUGGAAAGAGAAUCCAAAUUAAAGGUAGUAAAUAAAAGUAUAGAGUCGGGGGAGUUUGGAAUAACAGCCAGAGAAAUCUUAGAAAUUAAGCCACCAUUUGUGAAUACUAUAUGAAAACAGAUGAGGAAGCUCUAUGUGAUUAGAAAAAGAGAUAUACCUAAUGUAAA
rnacentral:lncRNA from 10 species